rnacentral:misc_RNA from 1 species
AAAGAAAAUAACAAGAAGCAACACAAACAAUAUGCAUAGAAAAUGAAACUUGUGAUCUGAUGAAAAUUUUCUAGAAGUCUAAGCCACCAAAAUAAAGUAAACAUUCAACUCAACUUUAGCAAUAGUAAAGCGUAUGCAGAACAAUGCGACAAAUUAAAAGAGAAAAAUGGUUCAAGCUGCCAAAAUUGUUUCAUAACAGAGACUAAGGGGACACUAAACUUCAAACAGCUUUGGCAUUGCAGAAGAUUCAACGCUCACGCCUUUGCCUUCCUAGGAGCCAACUGAGUCUCCGGCUCUUUCUUGACAGACUCUUCCUUCUCGGAUAAAAUCAACUCAAUAUGGCAGGGGUGAGACAUAUAGGGGUUAAUUCUUCCAUGUGCACGGUAAGUACGACGCCUCUGUUUUUGAGCUUCAUUCACUUGGAUGUGAGAUAUAUAAAGUGAAUCCACAUCAAGACCUUUCACCUCAGCAUUGCUUUCAGCAUUUUUGAGUAAAUCUAGAAUAAACCCUGCUGAUUUGACAGGCCAACGUCCUUGACCAUUUGAAUGGCGAUUCUUUGCCUGAGCAGUGCGACCAACCCCACGACAAAAUCGAGUGAAGGGAAUGGCUUGUUUGUGUGCAAGAACAUCCUCUAGAUAUCUCUUGGCCUUGUCCAAUGGCAUCUUCCUAAGAGCAUGUGCAGUCUCUCGUGUAUUCUUGAAAUGAACUCGGAGACUUGAACCCCUGGAUUUGCAAGAUUUAGUGGGGUUAUCGGGUUCCCUGGAAUACUUCACCAUGGCUUCCGGCGAUUGCUGUUGCUGUUGCUGCUGCU